rnacentral:rRNA from 1 species
CCUACGGGCGCGCAGUGGGGAAUAUUGCGCAAUGGGGGAAACCCUGACGCAGCAACGCCGCGUGAGCGAUGAAGGUUUUCGGAUUGUAAAGCUCUGUCUUUGGAGAAGAUAAUGACGGUACCCAAGGAGGAAGCCCCGGCUAACUACGUGCCAGCAGCCGCGGUAAUACGUAGGGGGCAAGCGUUGUCCGGAUUCACUGGGCGUAAAGAGCACGUAGGCGGUUAUUUAAGUCAGGUGUGAAAGUUUUCGGCUCAACCGGAAAAGGGCACUUGAAACUGGAUAACUUGAGAAUCGGAGAGGUAAGG